rnacentral:rRNA from 1 species
AUUGAACGCUGGCGGCAGGCCUAACACAUGCAAGUCGAGCGGAUGAAGGGAGCUUGCUCCUGGAUUCAGCGGCGGACGGGUGAGUAAUGCCUAGGAAUCUGCCUGGUAGUGGGGGAUAACGUCCGGAAACGGGCGCUAAUACCGCAUACGUCCUGAGGGAGAAAGUGGGGGAUCUUCGGACCUCACUCUAUCAGAUGAGCCUAGGUCGGAUUAGCUAGUUGGUGGGGUAAAGGCCUACCAAGGCGACGAUCCGUAACUGGUCUGAGAGGAUGAUCAGUCAAACUGGAACUGAGAAACGGUCCAGACUCCUACGGGAGGCAGAAGUGGGGAAUAUUGGACAAUGGGCGAAAGCCUGAUCAAGCCAUGCCGCGUGUGUGAAGAAGGUCUUCGGAUUGUAAAGCACUUUAAGUUGGGAGGAAGGGCAGUAAGUUAAUAACUUGCUGUUUUGACGUUACCAACAGAAUAAGCACCGGCUAACUUCGUG